rnacentral:piRNA from 1 species
UAGAAUUUUAUUUCACGAUGAUAAUUUUCU